UGAGACCUUAUCUCAAAAAAACAAAACCC
rnacentral:piRNA from 1 species